ensembl:lincRNA
CUCUCAAAAAGCACUGAGCCUCCAGCAAUUCCUGGUUACAGUUAGGUUUUCUUACCCGGUACCGGUUCCUGUGUAGGUUUCUAUGUAUCUGUGAAAGGAUGUGUCUCUCCUUUGGCGGGGGUCAGGGGGGUCGGGCGGGGGGGAGGGCAAGAGUUGCCCUGUGACUCCUCUGACUGGCCUAGGAAGAGGUGCUGAGGUUCAGUUUGUUCGGCUUUUCGUCUGUGCGCGGGCAACAGCAAAGACAACGUUCGAGCUCCUAGCGGGCUUCUCACCGCCCAACCGGAACCGGAACCGGAACCCGGAAGUCGGCUCUCUGGUCUCUAGUGGUCCUUGCAUUGGUUUUCUGUGCCUUUUCUCUUAAUACUUAAUGCGACGCUGUUUCAGUCAGUCACCAGCGUUGAGACAGGAAAAAGCUUCAGCUCUUCUGCCUACCUCUGCAUCCACAUUUCUAUCCUCUUCAAAGGAAGAAGAAAUUCCAAAAUGGAUUUUCAGAGUUCAAGGAAUUAACUGGGUGACAUUCACUAAUGGCUGUGAUCAAGGUCUCUCCUCCUCUAAUUCCUUUCUUCCUAGGGUCAAUAAAUCUCAGCAAACCUAAACCAUAGUGCACUCUGUCAUGUUCUUUUUCGGUUCUCUCUUCCUUCUUAAGGAGGUGGAUGAUGUGUUAAUUGACUAAGAAGCAAGGAAAUCAUGUUUCCAGAUCCCCUUUCCUCUUUAUUUCACUACUAAGUAAACUUGCCUUAAAGCUACUGGCCAGAUGUGCAAUCACAUCCUAAGUCAGUAUGGCCCGAAGUAUGAAGAGCAAACAAACCCUUCCUUCCCAUCCAUCUCUUUCAUCAUUUGGAACAAUGAUAGGGAUACUUUGAAGAAGUAUCUCCUCACAAUACAGAGGCCCCCAGAUGUAUAGAAAGGUGAAGUAGAGAGAAACUUGCAAAUACUUAUCUAAAAUAUAAGUAAAGUUUCCAGAGCAUUCAGAACAAACUAUGACACUGAGAAACUAUGUUGUUAUAUUUAGUAAAUCUGGACAGAAGUGGUAGUCAGAAGAACAGGAGGAAGGAGGAAGUUCCCUUACAGACUUUAGAGGAAGGGCAGCUGUCCAUGUGGAGGCAAGUUAUGUGUCCGUUCAUUUCAGAAUUUUCAAACACUGGCUCUGGAAGAGCUCUAUUUUCCUAGCUUGUCAUUCCACUAUCUAUCAUGUUUCUAAUCCAUGAAUGCAGGCUAGGCUUUCAGGCUAUAUAAAGCAGCAAGCCACUGUUUGUAAGAAUGGGUUUGUAAGAAUGGGCACAUGGGUUGUCUGUGCUAGGACAAGGGGAGGCCUCACAGAUUGUUCAUUGUGAAUAUUUUGGUUUGUUUGCUUUGCUUUCAUAAUUUCUCUCACCCCAUCACUCUUCCAUCUUGUUUCUCAACCAGAUCUAAAGGAUCUUGACUAGAGAAAGCAGGCUACAGGCUGAACAGAAAUAAUGGAAUUUUAGUGCUACCAUUGAAGUAUGAAGGUAGAGAAACUUUUGAGGGGAUUAAAUAGGAACCAUAAAUUCGUAAGCUGCAAAAUUUGGGGAGGAACGGGGCGCCUGGGUGGCUCAGUGGGUUAAAGCCUCUGCCUUCGGCUCAGGUCAUGAUCCCAGGGUCCUGGGAUCGAGCCCCACAUCAGGCUCUCUGCUCAGCAGGGAGCCUGCUUCCCACCCCCCACUCCCCCCACC